UUAAAGUCUAACCUGCCCACUGAAAUUUUUAAAUGGCCGCAGUAUUCUAACUGUGCAAAGGUAGCAUAAUCAUUAGUCUUUUAAUUGAAGGCUGGAAUGAAUGGUUGGACGAGAUAUUAACUGUUUCAUUUUAAUUUUUAUUAGAAUUUUAUUUUUUAGUCAAAAAGCUAAAAUAAAAUUAAAAGACGAGAAGACCCUAUAAAUCUUUAUAUUUAAUUUAUUUUUAUUAUAAAGAUUAAUUUUGUUUAAAUAAAUUUAAAUAUUUUAUUGGGGUGAUAUUAAAAUUUAAAAAACUUUUAAUUUUUUAAACCAUUAAUUUAUGAAUAAUUGAUCCAAUAAUAUUGAUUAAAAAUUUAAGUUACUUUAGGGAUAACAGCGUAAUUUUUUUGGAGAGUUCAUAUCGAUAAAAAAGAUUGCGACCUCGAUGUUGGAUUAAGAUAUAAUUUUGGGUGUAGCCGUUCAAAUUUUAAGUCUGUUCGACUUUUAAAUUCUUACAUGAUCUGAGUUCAAACCGGCGUAAGCCAGGUUGGUUUCUAUCUUUAAUAAAUUAUAAUAUUUUAGUACGAAAGGACCAAAUAUUAAAAUAAUUAUAUUUUAAAAAAGAAUAUUAUUAAUUUAA
rnacentral:rRNA from 1 species